UAAUUGAAUUUAAAUAUAAUU
rnacentral:piRNA from 1 species